AUGGUGGAGCUGGUAUCUUGGAAGUGGCAACAUCCGGCAAUAGGCACAGCAUCCGAAAGCCGGUAAAUAAUUUGGUUUGAUUGACCCUGGCUAUCAACUAGUCCUGGCUAAGUGGCUAUGUAUAAAAUUCUCUUUUCUGGAAAAGGACAUGUGAAUGGUUUUCAAAAUUGGCCAUUUGUGUUUGGAAAAUAGAAUUAUUGUCGACUGAUGAUCUUGUGUUUUGUUACUUU
rnacentral:lncRNA from 1 species